rnacentral:misc_RNA from 1 species
UUUCCGUAGGUGAACCUGCGGAAGGAUCAUUGUCGAAACCUGCCUAGCAGAACGACCCGUGAACGUGUUCAGAAAAAACCGAACGAUUUGGUCGGGGGGAGGCGCGGGCCCCCGCCCCGGGCGGUCCCGCGUUCCCCCCCGACAUAACAACGAACCCCGGCGCUACCUGCGCCAAGGAACUGCAACGGAGAGAUCGGUCACGAUCUCUUGCUCUGAGAUCCAAAACGACUCUCGGCAACGGAUAUCUCGGCUCUCGCAUCGAUGAAGAACGCAGC